UGGGGAAUUUUGCACAAUGGGGGAAACCCUGAUGCAGCGACGCCGCGUGAUGUAGAAGGCCUUCGGGUUGUAAAAAUCUUUUCUAUGGGAAGAAAAUGACAGUACCAUAGGAAUAAGGACCGGCUAAUUACGUGCCAGCAGCCGCGGUAAUACGUAAGGUCCGAGCGUUGUCCGGAAUCAUUGGGCGUAAAGGGUACGUAGGCGGGUAAGCAAGUUAGAAGUGAAAUCCUAUAGCUCAACUAUAGUAAGCUUUUAAAACUGCUCAUCUUGAGGUAUGGAAGGGGAAGUGGAAUUCCUAGUGUAGCGGUGACAUGCGCAGAUAUUAGGAGGAAUACCGGUGGCGAAGGCGACUUUCUGGCCAUAACCUGACGCUGAGGUACGAAAGCGUGGGUAGCAAACAGG
rnacentral:rRNA from 1 species